UUGUUAGAAUUUUUUUUAGGGUUAAACCAUAUUUGCACCUGACUAUAAAGAUAAUGUCAAAAGGAACAUUAUGCUGUGAUACAGUAGCACCAAGCACAGACUUUUAAAAUGGAGCUGUUGUUUGAGGAGACAGAGGAGAACAUUGCUUUUAAAUAUAUUUGUUUUGAUCUUUUAAAAAAUUAGUUCACACUCUUUGAGAAUUGUUUAUUCAAAUACAUUUAACUGUGUUACUGCAGAAAGCUUAAAGAUUUGAUUAUUUCAGAGCUCCAUCAGAUGCUGAGCCACGUUCAGGUCAAACAUUUUAAAUCUGAGUAAGAGCCAUAAAAAUCACCAAAUAAUACAAGGCGACAGAUUUUUCUUUGACACCAAGACUGAUGUGGUCCACGCUCCGGCCACCCCUUCCUAUUCCUGCCCCGAGCAAACCUGAGUAACUACAACUGAACAAUGUGAAAGUCGAAGCGAUUGCCCAACCUGUAAGUGUGAGAUUUCAAGGCUGUAGUUCAUGAGGGGCCGUUUGGACCAUAAUUCAUUCUUCCCUCUCAUAUUUAUAGAAAAUACCCCUCACAUUCACAAUUUCACCUCUCAUGUUCACAAUUAUUCACAAUUUUACCUCUCCCUCUGUGAAAGGUAAAAUUGUGAAUGUGAGAAGUAAAAUUGUGAAUGUGAGAGGUAAAAUUGUGAAUGUGAGAGGUAAAAUUGUGAAUGUGAGAGGUAAAAUUGUGAAUAUAAGGGGUAAAAUUGUGAAUGUGAGAGGUAAAAUUGUGAAUGUGAGAGGUAAAAUUGUGUAUGUGAGGGGUAAAAUUGUGAAUGAGGGGUAAAAUUGUGAAUGUGAGGGGUAAAAUUGUGAAUGUGAGAGGUAAAAUUGUGAAUGUGAGAGGUAAAAUUGUAUAUGUGAGAGGUAAAAUUGUGAAUGUGAGAGGUAAAAUUGUAUAUGUGAGAGGUAAAAUUGUGAAUGUGAGAGGUAAAAUUGUGAAUGUGAGAGGUAAAAUUGUGUAUGUGAGAGGUAUUCUUUGUGAAUGUGAGAGGUAAAAUUGUGAAUGUGAGAGGUAAAAUUGUGAAUGUGAGAGGGAUUGUUUGUGAAUGUGAGAGGUAAAAUUGUGUAUGUGAGGUAUUUUUUGUGUAUGUGAGAGGGAAUAAUGAAUUAUGGUCUCUACGGCACCUCAUAGUAGUUUUGUGCUGUCCAUUUGUCUCGAUUUGUCUCUGUCUGUCUACAUCUGAAUGUUUCAAUGUUGAUUUUAUUAAGUUUAAUGCUAGACAGCCAUUUAAUUAAGUCUGUUUAAACUGUUUAAGUGUCUACCUGUCCUGCAGUAGCAUCAGUUAUCAGUGAUAUUAUGGUCUUUUCUACAGGGAUACGUGCUCAGGUGUGCAUGUCCAUAGUUUCAAAAUAAAAGCUUGUGUUAGGACAGCCAGGAAAGCACGUCUAAUAAUAAUAAUAAUAAUCUCCUGUUGUGCUUGUUGUGGAUAUUUGUUUUUUUUUUUAGAGAACUGGUUAAUAUGCCAUGUGGUUGAGGAUUGUAAAAACACAAACUGACACAUGAACUGUUGAAGACACUUGACAUACUUUCCUUUUUAAGGGGUUGCACCUGUCCUGGUUGACAGUUUCAAUAAAGUUUGUUCAAAACAGUAA